rnacentral:rRNA from 1 species
GACGAACGCUGGCGGCGUGCUUAACACAUGCAAGUCGAACGGAAAGGCCCUUCGGGGUACUCGAGUGGCGAACGGGUGAGUAACACGUGGGUGAUCUGCCCUGCACUUUGGGAUAAGCCUGGGAAACUGGGUCUAAUACCGAAUAGGACUACGCUCUUCAUGGGGUGUGGUGGAAAGCUUUUGCGGUGUGGGAUGGGCCCGCGGCCUAUCAGCUUGUUGGUGGGGUAAUGGCCUACCAAGGCGACGACGGGUAGCCGGCCUGAGAGGGUGACCGGCCACACUGGGACUGAGAUACGGCCCAGACUCCUACGGGAGGCAGCAGUGGGGAAUAUUGCACAAUGGGCGCAAGCCUGAUGCAGCGACGCCGCGUGAGGGAUG